UUGAUUCUGAGUGUACGAAAUAACGAAUAUGACGCACCGUCCUUCAGACCAAUAAAAACCUAAAAUACAACAACAACAAGAAGUUUCGCCAUGAGAAGAAAAAGAAGAAGAAGAACAACAAGAAGUGUAUGCGGAAACUCUCAGUGGAUUGAACGUCUUUCGUCCAUUGCAUUGGAAUCAAGGACGCGUCAGCUGAUCUGGACAUAUCGUCUGAUGCGAUUUACUGAUAGCAUCCAACUUUCCUUGCCACAAUGUUUCACAGAAACAACAAUGGAAUUGUGCUGGGCAGCCGUUGCGAUCAGGCCUGGUCAAAAUGUGUGCUAUCAAUUUUACGAAACCUGUUUCAGAUGGUCCGGGCCCGCCAAUGUCCGUUUUUAUGUGCCAACAGUUUUACUGUAUUGUUUUUAGCUUCUGCUGUAGGAGAAAGAGUUGAAUGACAUGAUUUUCUGACAUCGACUUCAUGCGGAUAAGGGCUGCAUUAAAAUAAAAGGAUAUCGAAUUGACCUUAUCGUUAAAGUAAUCACAGGUUCAAAGCAAGAGAUGAACUGAUAAGGACAAUCGGGAAGAUGCGUAAACAUCUCUGAAGACGAACAGACGAAUACCCUAAUUGAUGAGGACUCGGACGGCGAAUAUGAAUCUGAUGACUAUAUGGAAAAAAGAAAAAUGGUUUGAAAAGCUAGAUGUUUGUUGCAGCAGACGAAAUUAGAAAUUAAAAAGAUAAAGUACAUCCAAAAUAAGUAGUUUUAGAAUCGGAAAAGUGACAAAGAUUACAACGUUCAAUCUACCGCCCCCAUCGAAGGUCUU